GCCUGGCGGGCUCCAUCAUAGAGACGCGGCGGCAGGAGCGGCGGAGCGGAAGCCGGUCGGCCGGCCGGGGCCGGGCGCCGGGGCAGGGGCGGCACAGCCGGGCGGAGGCGGCUGCGGGCUGCCUGGGCAGAAUGUCACAAUGGACGAGGGGGGCACGCCCCUGCUCCCUGACAGCCUCAUCUACCACAUCUUCCUGAGUUUGGGCCCAGCAGACGUACUGGCCGCCGGUCUGGUGUGCCGCCAGUGGCAGGCCGUGUCCCGGGACGAGUUCCUGUGGAGGGAGCAGUUCUACCGCUACUACCAGGUGGCCCGAGACGUGCCCCGGCACCCAGCGGCCACAUCCUGGUAUGAAGAGUUUCGGCGGCUCUAUGACACGGUGCCUUGUGUGGAGGUGCAGACGCUCAAGGAGCACACCGAUCAGGUGCUGCAUCUCAGCUUCUCCCACUCGGGUUACCAGUUUGCUUCCUGCUCCAAGGAUUGCACUGUGAAGAUCUGGAGCAACGACCUGACCAUCUCGCUGCUGCACAGCGCGGACAUGCGGCCCUAUAACUGGAGCUACACCCAGUUCUCCCAGUUCAACCAGGACGACUCACUGCUGCUGGCGUCUGGGGUGUUCCUAGGGCCGCACAACUCCUCGUCGGGUGAGAUUGCAGUCAUCAGCCUAGACAACUUCGCCCUGCUGUCCCGAGUGCGCAACAAGCCCUAUGAUGUGUUUGGCUGCUGGCUCACGGAGACCAGCCUGAUCUCGGGGAACCUGCACCGCAUCGGAGACAUUACCUCCUGCUCAGUGCUCUGGCUCAACAAUGCGUUCCAGGUGCGGGCGGGCGUGCCCCCUGCGGCCGCUCCCUCCUUGGCCUGGUGCCCACCUGCUGUCUCCCACCCCCAGGACGUGGAGUCAGAGAACGUCAAUGUGGUGAAGCGGCUCUUCAAGAUUCAGAACCUUAACGCCAGCACCAUCCGCACCGUGAUGGUGGCCGACUGCAGCCGCUUUGACAGCCCGGACCUCCUGCUGGAUGCCGGUGCGGCCCCCGGCCGUGUCUUUGACCUGGGCAGCGACAGUGAGGGCGAGGCGGUGGGCCCAGGAUCAGGGCCUGCUCCAGCCCGCACCAAGGAAGGCUUGCGGCGAUUCUUGGAUGGGCUCCUGGACGGGCGGGCGCAGCCCCAGCUGUCAGAGCACGCGCUGGAGACCAAGGUGGCCGAGCUGCUGGCCCAGGGCCGCACCAAACCCCCAGAGCACAGCAUGGCUGACGCCCACAAGCUCCUCAUCUUCACUACGGGCUGCCUCACUUACUCACCACACCAGAUCGGCAUCAAGCAGAUCCUGCCACACCAGAUGACCACAGCCGGGCCUGUGCUGGGCGAGGGGCGGGGCUCAGAUGCCUUCUUUGAUGCCCUGGACCACGUCAUCGAUGUGCACGGACACAUCAUCGGCAUGGGCUUGUCCCCGGACAACAGGGUGCCCCUUGCCCAGGUACCUGUAUGUAAACAGCCGUGCCUGGCCCAGCGGCUCUGUGGUGGCCGACCCCAUGCAGCCACCGCCCAUAGCAGAGGAGAUCGACCUGCUGGUGUUUGACCUCAAGACCAUGCGGGAGGUGAAGCGGGCUCUGCGGGCCCACCGUGCCUACACGCCCAAUGACGAGUGCUUCUUCAUUUUCCUGGACGUCAGCAGGGACUUCGUGGCCAGCGGGGCAGAGGACCGGCACGGCUACAUCUGGGACCGGCACUAUAACAUCUGCCUGGCGAAGCUGCGGCACCAGGACGUGGUCAACUCGGUGGUCUUCAGCCCCCAAGAGCAGGAGCUCCUGCUGACAGCCAGUGACGAUGCCACCAUCAAAGCCUGGCGUUCACCACGCACCGUGCGCAUCCACCAGGCCGCGCGCCCACGUCCCCAUCCCUUUCUCUCCUGGUUUGCCGGCCAGAAGCGCUGAGAAGGGCACUAGGCGACAGGAGCGUCCUGGGUGUUCUGGGGCUGCUGGGACCCAUUGAAGAUGCUACAGAGGCCUGCAGCCCUUUCCCAAGGGCCCAGUCGCUGCCCAGACCAUGUGGUGGGCAGAGACACUUGUGACAGUCAUGCCUUAGGAGGGGGUCCAGCAGGGAGGGGACGGCCUGCCCCCCACCACACUCACACCACACACCACCUCCCACAGCUGUGACCUUCAGCACCGGGGCAGCCCCCUGGCUGGCCUGGGAUGCACUGGACACUGGGCCCCCACUCUCCCCCACCCUCUUCCCCCAGGGCCUGUGCCCUGGGACAGUCAGCAGCAUACAUACCCUUUGGCCGGCCCCGUAGGGCCCCGGGCGGCCCCUCCUCUGGGAACACAUUUGCUCACCAGCAGGGCCGGCAGCACAGGUCAGUCUGCCGUGGGCCCAGGCAAACUGCAUGUCACUGGUCACCUGUUUGGGGCCUGAAUAAACAGUUGGCAGUAGCA